CUACUCUUGACAUCCUGCGAACUUGGUAGAGAUACCUUGGUGCCUUCGGGAACGCAGAGACAGGUGCUGCAUGGCUGUCGUCAGCUCGUGUUGUGAAAUGUUGGGUUAAGUCCCGUAACGAGCGCAACCCUUGUCCUUAGUUGCCAUCAUUUAGUUGGGGACUCUAAGGAGACUGCCGGUGACAAACCGGAGGAAGGCGGGGACGACGUCAAGUCAUCAUGGCCCUUACGAGUAGGGCUACACACGUGCUACAAUGGCAAGUACAGAGGGCCGCGAAGCCGCGAGGUGGAGCUAAUCUCACAAAGCUUGUCGUAGUCCGGAUUGGAGUCUGCAACUCGACUCCAUGAAGUCGGAAUCGCUAGUAAUCGCAAAUCAGGAUGUUGCGGUGAAUACGUUCCCGGGUCUGUACACACCG
rnacentral:rRNA from 1 species